UUGCUGUAAACAAAAUUGCGUGCAGUAUUGCUAUGCGUAGUAGAGUUAGCGGUUUCUUGAAACGUCAUGUCGGGCCCUGUCUGUGACGGAAGCGCGAGGGGUGUUACACAAAUCAGCUUCAGGUCUAGCUCACACUAGGCAGGAGUAGCUUGUAUAGGGUUGCCCCCUUCUGCGUUUGCGUCACGAACAGUGCCCAUUCCGAACGUCGCUGCAAACGGUGCACGUUAUCGUGUCAAGCUUCGGCCUUUUCCCGCAUUUCUACGACGCUUUUUCGCCGCGUUGUCGACGAAGCGCGACGAGUCCUUUCAACGUUCCGCGAAACCGACCGCUGCAUUCCGAGACCUGCCACCCAGUGCACCAUGCUACAAGUUUGUGCGCCUCGCUGCCUUCAUAUUGACCCGUACUGCGCACAGACCCGCCCGUGCCAGUUGCCUGACGCGAUGUUCAACAGUCUCUAGGAAAAUCGUCAGCUCGUCCAAUCUAGCGUCGUGACCGUGAAUACUGGCAUCGUUUUCAUCUGCGCCCUUUCGCAGCGAUUUUCGACAUACCUUUUGCGUCCCGAGUCGUUAUUUCCACUGCAGCGUUUUACGUGCCGCGUGGUUUCCCGCGUUUUCGGAUACGCGACCCUUACGGCUCCUGCAUUCGUCCGGCUUGGGCCAGUGUGCUCGUGACUUUCGCUCGGCCGAAAUCCUUGCCGAGGUGCAUCGCUACGACUUCGUGGUCUUCGGACGGCUCGGUGAAAUCGCUGCCUCCUCAUCCAACCUACCUGUUCCUGUCAUGGCUACGCGACCCUUCCGUGGCCGUGACCUUCUUCCCGCAUGAAAUCUGCUCCCCCCUGGCCUUCCGGAGCGGCUGCAAUACUUUUGCAUAUACAAGGUCCUUCACGGGUACUGCCUCCGGUGUUCGCGGCUGUGUCGCCUCGUGCUGCUGUCUUCCUGCCUUCAGUGGUUCUCCUGCUGCCGCCCGGGGAUCUUCGCUGCCACCUUGUACUCUUCGGGCGGAUCUGCACUCCCGUUUCGCCGCGGAAAAUCCUACGAGCCAAGAAGAGUCGCGAGAUGCUCGGGAAAAUGCCUGUAUUUGAAUAAACUCUUUAAUGAUGAG
rnacentral:lncRNA from 1 species